UUUAGAUCUCCAAUUCUCCAAGACCUUUACAGACAAGGAAUAAGUGAGAAGUGGGCCAAGAUCCCAACCAUCGUGAUAGAAGACUAAUCUGGAUGACGCAUCUCAAAGGCUUCAGCUUCUCUUGAAACAAGCACAGUUCUCUAUCAUUCGUCAUAUUUCAACCUGGGAUGCAUGUCCAAUGGAAGUCAAUAUUGGAGCUAGGGGACAAGGGAACAUCAAUUGAGCAUCAGGCAUUGUCUUCCCCCCUACCCUUCAGAUACAUCAGUGAUUAGUUGAGCAUGAGCUAGCAGAGUUAUAGCAUAGACCAAACCUAGGAGGGUACGAAAGAGGUCAAACACUUGAGGUGGUCAUACAUGUGCUUCCUCAGAUCGAUGCUCAACUUUCUAUCAAUUUUAGCCGUAUUCACCUUGAUUUUUUCAGGAUACAGAUGAUCAUUCAUGCCCACGUGAAUAGCUAAAGGGAUUCUUGGACUUCCAAUUCCAAUACUAGAUGAUCUUCACCACUAAGAUGUGAACCGCACCAGGCUGCUUGUACUGCUCGUAUUGAAGCUGCAUGCAUAAGCAUUCAUCAUGGCAUCUGAAUUUGGGAAACUGCAUAAGUACCAACUUGUAGAUUAUAUUAUAACUUGAAGUUCUUGGUUUUCAAGUUGGACUAUUAGCAAGUCUCGUAAAACCUUUUGAUUAAUUACAUGGACCGAGGACGGUCUAGUCAAGAAUAUCGAUCUCUUCCAUUGUCUGGACUUUAUUAGACUUACUGGGAAGCUAUGCAAGGUUAUGACAAUGAGCUGUCAUUGGAGAAGUUAAACUUGGGAUUGUUCCUUUGGUCUAAGUAGGUUAUGCUAGCUUGUGUAUCCUUCUGCUCGUCUAAGUUAUAUCGUCAUUGUUUAUAUAGGUGAUCAUGACUGUCAGGAGCUUAAGAGGUUACAAACAGCACCAGUUAGAGACAUGUUCUUAAAGCAUUGAAAGAAGGCAUGAGGUUACUGAAGGCUGCCAGUUUGAAGACCUUCCUGUUUGGUUAUGAUACUCUUCUUCCUCUAAUGCUGGAACUUGGGUCCCUAUCAAGUACAUUUUAGAAAGAUUGCAAGCACCCUUCUGUGUAUGGAAUUGGGAGGUUCGGCUUCAAAGUUCUGUUGGUUAGACUCCUGAAGAUGAGAUGACCCUCAGGUACUCUUCAUGUUGUGUGGAAAGUUCCAGAAUAAUUCAAAAGAAAUCUUUAGAAGAAAAUCGCACCAACGUACAUGUACAGCUCACACUGAGGCUUCAUUUAGAAUGGCCUUGGAGUUGCAAAGCUGAUGGGAUGCUAAUAUGAUAAGCUGUCUAUGUCAUAACCUAAAGUUCUCAGUUCAUGUGUGUUUGUGGCACAUAUAUGGCUCUGUAAGACUGUGACUGUGAGACUGAGUUAAGGAUCAUAGAUUGCUUUAACUUUUUGGUUAUUUGGGUGCACCUAGGUUGGACUGUUGGAGCAAUGCAUCUGAGGCACCAAUCAGACCUACAUUUGACAAGCUGUGGGGUGGCCAUGAUAGAUGAAAGAAGGAGGAUUGGGCAAGUACUCAUGCAUCCAAUAUUUGAUUGGGAGCCCAGCCCAGGUCUCCGUUCCCUAUUCCUUUUUGCUGAUACGAAUUUGCCUGUAUGCUGAUCUCUACUUGUGCAGAGAGGAUAAUCAAGGUGCAGUCAAACCACCAUUCCUUGCGGUAGAAUGUCAAGCAACAAUAUUACAACAUGCAAUUACAAACUUAUUUUGUAUCACCUAUUUGACUGAUGGAUGAGGCAGG